GUGCUCACUUCAGCACACAUACUAAAACUGAAACCAUAAGAGAAAGUUAGCAUGGCCCCUGCACAAGGACGGAGUGCAAAUUUGUGACGUGUUCCAUAUGUUU
rnacentral:snRNA from 1 species